rnacentral:rRNA from 1 species
UACGGGGGGGGCAAGCGUUGUUCGGAAUUACUGGGCGUAAAGGGCUCGUAGGUGGCUAACUAAGUCAGACGUGAAAUCCCUCGGCUUAACCGGGGACCUGCGUCUGAUACUGGAUGGCUUGAGUUCGGGAGAGGGAUGCGGAAUUCCAGGUGUAGCGGUGAAAUGCGUAGAUAUCUGGAGGAACACCGGUGGCGAAGGCGGCAUCCUGGACCGACACUGACACUGAGGAGCGAAAGCCAGGGGAGCAAACGGG